GAUGAAGAACGUAGCGAAAUGCGAUAACUAGUGUGAAUUGCAGAUUUCAGUGAAUCAUCGAGUCUUUGAACGCACAUUGCGCCCCUUGGUAUCCCGAGGGGCAUGCCUGUUCGAGCGUCAUUUCACCACUCAAGCCUGGCUUGGUGUUGGGCGACGUCCUCUUUGGGGACGCGCCUCGAAACGCUCGGCGGCGUGGCACCGGCUUUAAGCGUAGCAGAAUCUUUCGCUUUGGAAGUCGGGGCCCCGUCUGCCGGAAGACCUGCUCGCAAGGUUGACCUCGGAUCAGGCAGGGAUACCCGCUGAACUUAAGCAUAUCAAUAAGCGGAGGA
rnacentral:misc_RNA from 1 species